rfam:Glycine max cultivar Williams 82 chromosome 6, whole genome shotgun sequence.
GAUCUAUUAAUUCAGUUGGUUAGAGCGUUGUGCUAAUAACGCGAAAGUCAUAAGUUUAAUUCUUGUUUGGGCCA